AUUGAACGCUGGCGGCAUGCUUUACACAUGCAAGUCGAACGGUAACAGGCCUUCGGGUGCUGACGAGUGGCGAACGGGGGAGUAAUGCAUCGGAACGUGCCCAGAGGUGGGGGAUAACGCAGCGAAAGCUGUGCUAAUACCGCAUGUGAUCUGAGGAUGAAAGCGGGGGACCAGGCAGCAAUGUUUGGCCUCGCGCCUUUGGAGCGGCCGAUGUCAGAUUAGGUAGUUGGUGGGGUAAAGGCCUACCAAGCCGACGAUCUGUAGCUGGCCUGAGAGGACGACCAGCAACACGGGGCCUGAGCACCGGCCCAGACUCCUCCGGGAGGCAGCAGUGGGGAAUUUUGGACAAUGGGCGCAAGCCUGAUCCAGCAAGGCCGCGUGCGGGAAGAAGGCCUUCGGGUUGUAAACCGCUUUUGUACGGAACGAAAAGGCUCUGGCUAAUACCUGGGGCUGAUGACGGUACCGUAAGAAUAGGCACCGGCUAACUACGU
rnacentral:rRNA from 1 species